AACGAACGUUAGCGGCGCGCUUAACACAUGCAAGUCGAGCGAGAAGGGGGCAACCCCAGUAAAGCGGCGCACGGGUGAGUAACACGUAGGUAAUUUACCUCGAGGUGGUGGAUAACCUUCCGAAAGGAGGGCUAAUACAGCAUGAGACCACGUCUUCGAAAGAGGAUGAGGUUAAAGCGGGCCUCUAUACAUAAGCUCGCGCCACGAGAUGAGCCUGCGGCCCAUCAUGGUAGUUGGUAGGGUAAUGGCCUACCAAGCCGAAGACGGGUAGCUGGUCUGAGAGGAUGAUCAGCCACACUGGAACUGAGACACGGUCCAGACUCCUACGGGAGGCAGCAGUGGGGAAUCUUGCGCAAUGGGCGAAAGCCUGACGCAGCGACGCCGCGUGAGUGAUGAAGGCCCUCGGGUUGUAAAGCUCUGUGGAGGGGGACGAAUAAGGGUUGGUGAAUAUCCAGCUCGAUGACGGUACCCCUUUAGCAAGCACCGGCUAACUCUGUG
rnacentral:rRNA from 1 species